rnacentral:rRNA from 1 species
AUUGAACGCUGGCGGCAUGCUUUACACAUGCAAGUCGAACGGUAACAGGUUAAGCUGACGAGUGGCGAACGGGUGAGUAAUGCAUCGGAACGUGCCCGACCGCGGGGGAUAACGCAGCGAAAGCUGCGCUAAUACCGCAUACGAUCUGAGGAUGAAAGCGGGGGACCGUAAGGCCUCGCGCGAUCGGAGCGGCCGAUGUCAGAUUAGGUAGUUGGUGGGGUAAAGGCUCACCAAGCCAACGAUCUGUAGCUGGUCUGAGAGGACGACCAGCCACACUGGGACUGAGACACGGCCCAGACUCCUACGGGAGGCAGCAGUGGGGAAUUUUGGACAAUGGGCGAAAGCCUGAUCCAGCAAUGCCGCGUGCAGGAAGAAGGCCUUCGGGUUGUAAACUGCUUUUGUACGGAGCGAAAAGGUCUCCUCUAAUACAGGGGGCUCAUGACGGUACCGUAAGAAUAAGCACCGGCUAACUACGUGCCAGCCGCCGCUGUAA